rnacentral:tRNA from 1 species
UAAAAUGAAAUCAUUAGAUAUUUCAUUUACAAUGAAAGUUUGUUUUAUAGACCAUUUUAA